CUGUGGAGGGAGAAAGGUCUGGCUCCUGGGGAGUGUACCAGGGUACCUGAGGUGAAGCAGGGCUGGGGAAGGCCAGAGGAGCUGGGAGGCUCCAGACUGGAAAAGCCCCAGGCUGCAGUCCUGGCAGACAGCCUAAGACAGGGUACUGGGGUUGCAACAGGGCAGCCCAAGGGUAGGUAGAGGCAGCAAGUCCAAACCCCCCUUGCCUAUGAUAAAUGGCUAAUAUAGACUGGAGUUGGCACCGUGAAAAGGGGCUAGAUGGUGACUGGCAGUAGCCCAUAGGAUGAGGCAAGGUGGGGAUAGAGGGUGGGGGGUUCCCCAGGGAGGGGAGAUCCAGAUUUGUGGGGUAUUGCCUGGAAGGGCAGCACCCCAGGAAAAAAGGGGAACCGGUGUCUGGGAGGGACAUGGGGGCCAGCGACGGCAAGACACCGGCAGAGGGCGCUCCGGAGCUGGUAAAAAGAACUAAUUCCCAGAAAGCCAGCAGGAGGCGCCGCAGGGGUGAGUCUCGCCCCAUUACACAUGGACUCAGUGACAUUCUCUGCAAAGAAGUAUUGGAUUUCCUGCAAUGUAUCUUCAUGAUAAUGUUGAAUAAGGAGGAGAGGAUGUGGGUGACAGUCCCAUUGGAACACAAAUGGCUCUAGUUUCCUUGGCCAGUGUGACCCCCUACCUUUUCCCAAAAAUAGCUGCAUCAAAUCUAUUGAAACUACCAGCAACAACUAAGUUGCAGUGUGAGAAAGCCACAAAACCAACAGAAGAAACCAACUCUAUAGAGGAAACAGCAAAAAAGUGACUAUGGACAAAAUCAAAGACGGAAAGUCCCCUAUGUAGAGGAGCAGCACAACGGAUACACACCACUGAAAUUGUACUUAAGCCACAAGAUAGGACAUAAGUGAUGCGUAGUUAUGUGCUGACCUUCUACACCAGUGGUUCUCAAUCUAUUUGUUACCUGGGCCACAGGUUGAGAACCACAGCGCCCCUCCGCACCGACCCCUAUGCUCAGCGCCCCCUGCCCAGAGACCCCUCCACAGAAGGGGACCAGGAGUGGAGUUCUGGGUGGGGGCCGGGUUGCAGGGACCCUGGACCCUGUGGGGCUGGCCGGCGGCCCUGAUGCCAGCCCCAGACCCCAUGGGACAGCCCCUGGACCCUGUGGGGUUUUCCUUACUCUCUUUUAGUUAUAGUAAUCA